rnacentral:misc_RNA from 1 species
AAGUCGUAACAAGGUUUCCGUAGGUGAACCUGCGGAAGGAUCAUUAUUGAAUGAAUCUAGAGUUGGUUGUCGCUGGCCUCUUCGCGGAGGCAUGUGCACGCCUUCUCUUUCAUCCACACACACCUGUGCACCUGUGAGACGGAGGCCUGCUUUCUUAGAGGGCGGGUUUCCGUCUGCCAAUACACAAACUCAUAUAUUGUAAUCUGAAUGUAAUUGAUGUAACGCAUCUAUAAACUAAGUUUCAACAACGGAUCUCUUGGCUCUC